rnacentral:tRNA from 1 species
UCCAAUGUGGUGUAGUGGCCAACAUUGAUGUCUUUCACACAGCAGCCCGGGGUUCGAUUCCCCGCAUUGGAA